CUUGUACACACCGCCCGUCACACCAUGAGAGUUUGUAACACCCAAAGUCGGUUGGAUAACCUUUUUAGGAGUCCGCCGCCUAAGGUGGGACAGAUGAUUAGGGUGAAGUCGUAACAAGGUAGCCGUAGGAGAACCUGCGGCUGGAUCACCUCCUUU
rnacentral:rRNA from 1 species